GUCGAACGCUGGCGGCGUGCCUAAUACAUGCAAGUCGAACGCAGUGGGGACGGGUGAGUAACACGUGGGUAACCUCCCAUCAGAGGGGAUAACACUUGGAAACAGGUGCUAAACCGAUACUGAUGGAUGGACCCGCGGGGCAUUAGCUAGUUGGUGAGGUAACGGCUCACCAAGGCCACGCUGAGUACACGGCCUGAGAGGUGGAUCAGCCACAUUGGAACGGAGACACGGCCCAGACUCCUACGUGAGGCAGCAGUAGGGAAUCUUCGGCAAUGGACGAAAGUCUGACCGAGCAACGCCGCGUGAGUGAAGAAGGUUGUCGGAUCGUAAAGCUCUGUUGUUAGAGAAGCGGUAUCUAACCAGAAAGCCACGGCUAACUACGUGCCAGCAGCCGCGGUAAUUC
rnacentral:rRNA from 1 species